rnacentral:rRNA from 1 species
UACGUAGGUGGCAAGCGUUAUCCGGAAUUAUUGGGCGUAAAGCGCGCGCGGGUGGUUUCUUAAGUCUGAUGUGAAAGCCCACGGCUCAACCGUGGAGGGUCAUUGGAAACUGGGAGACUUGAGUGCAGAAGAGGAAAGUGGAAUUCCAUGUGUAGCGGUGAAAUGCGUAGAGAUAUGGAGGAACACCAGUGGCGAAGGCGGUUGCCUGGGGCUUUGCUGACGCUGAUGCGCGAAAGCGUGGGGAGCGAUCCGG